GGCCUCCCCUAGACCCUCCCUUCAGUCUGCGCUCAGCCCCACGUCCCCACACGACGCACUGGACGCUGCGUUGAGUUUUGGGUCACCUGUCGCUGCAGUUGGACGAUGGAUUUUCUCGGGGGCACGCGGGUCUCCGACGGGGCACCAGUCAGGUGCGUGCUGGCUGGAGAGCUCUCGGCCAUCAAGCCUGCCGUGUGGUCUGAGAGGCGGUCACCAGGGUGCUGGGAGGAUCCGGGCAGAAGUAGCUGCUUCUCCAGGCUGCCAUUUCCAGGGCGUCGGAGUCCCGGUCCCGCCUCCUGCCCAGGACGCCCUCCGCGAGCCCGUGGCCUGUGGGGGCCGGUCCUUCGCUGCAGCUGCCGGGCAGCUGAAGAGGGCGUGGAGGGCGGAAGCACGGGCAACGGUUGUUUCCUGCGGAGAAGGGCAGGGGACACGGAGCGGCGCCUGGACUCUGGGCCUGCGGCCUCUCCGGAGGGCUGCGCACCCCUGAGCCUGCCCUGGGCGCGCCGGCUGUCGGGGGACCCUUCUGCACAAGGUUCAGAGGGCUCAUCUUGAACAAGACUGUCACCAAGCAGCAGUGCAAAGGUACAUAGCAUAGUGGUUCAGUUUUUCUUUUUUUGCUGAUUAUGUUCCAUUAUAAGAGUUCCAGAAAAACAUCUGCUUCUGCUUUAUUGACUAUGGCAAGGCCUUUGACUGUGUGGAUCACAGCAAACUGUGGAAAAUUCUUAAAGAGAUGGGAAUACCAGACCACCUUACCUGCCUCCUGAGAAAUCUAUAUGCCUCCUGAGAAAUCUGUAUGCAAGGAGAUCAAACUGUUCAAGCCUAAAGGAAAUCAAUCCUGAAUAUUCAUUGGAAGGACUGAUGCUGAAGCUGAAACUCUAACACUAUGGCUGCUUGAUGCAAAGAACUGACUCAUUGGAAAAGACCCUGACGCUGGGAAAGAUUGAAGGCAGGAGGAGAAGGGGACAACAGAGGAUGAGAUGUUUGGAUGGCAUCACUGACUCGAUGGACAUGAGUUUGAGCAAGCUCUGGGAGUUGGUGAUGGACAGGGAAGCCUGGUGGGGUGCAGUCCAUGGGGUCACAAAGAGUUAGACACGAAACGAGUGACUGAACUGAAUUGAACUGAACUGAUAUUCCAUUAUAGGUUUUUAUAGGAUAUUGAGUAUAAUUUCCUUUGCUGUACAGUAAAUACUUGUUGCUUAUCUAUUUUAUGUAUAGUAGUUUGAAUCUGUUAAUCCCAUAC
ensembl:lncRNA